CAGUCGCCGCGGUAAUACGGAGGGUGCAAGCGUUAAUCGGAAUUACUGGGCGUAAAGCGCACGCAGGCGGUUUGUUAAGUCAGAUGUGAAAUCCCCGAGCUUAACUUGGGAACUGCAUUUGAAACUGGCAAGCUAGAGUCUUGUAGAGGGGGGUAGAAUUCCAGGUGUAGCGGUGAAAUGCGUAGAGAUCUGGAGGAAUAUCGGUGGCGAAGGCGGCCCCCUGGACAAAGACUGACGCUCAGGUGCGAAAGCGUGGGGAGCAAACAGGAUUAGAUACCCCUGUAGUCCCUGUCUCUUAUAC
rnacentral:rRNA from 1 species